UGGCUCUGGAGAAGCCCGGCGACGGGUACCGAAGGUGCAAGGCGGCGCAGCCGCUGAAUCUCUCAGGUAAAAGGACAGAGUAGGGA
rnacentral:ncRNA from 1 species